GGCAGCAUAGCAUAGUGGUUAAGGAGCUGGACUUGUAACCAAAAGGUUGCUGGUUUGAUUCCAGCUGGGGCAU